AACGUAGGACACAAGCGUUAUCCGGAGUUACUGGGCGUAAAGGGCGUGUAGGCGGGAUUAUAAGUCUACUCUGAAAGCUCCUGGCUAAACUGGGAGAGGCGAGUGGAGACUGUAGUUCUAGAGUGAGGAAGAGGAAAGUGGAAUUCCGCGUGUAGUGGUGAAAUGCGUAGAGAUGCGGAGGAACACCAGUGGCGAAGGCAGCCCCCUGGGAUAACACUGACGCUCAUGCACGAAAGCGUGGGGAGCAAACAGG
rnacentral:rRNA from 1 species